rnacentral:tRNA from 1 species
GGUAGCUCAGUUGCUAGAGCACUUGCUCGGUAAGCAAGAGGUCACGGAUUCGUGUCCCGCCC